UUCGCCCUUAGAGUUUGAUCCUGGCUCAGAGCGAACGCUGGCGGCAGGCUUAACACAUGCAAGUCGAGCGGGCGUAGCAAUACGUCAGCGGCAGACGGGUGAGUAACGCGUGGGAACGUACCUUUUGGUUCGGAACAACACAGGGAAACUUGUGCUAAUACCGGAUAAGCCCUUACGGGGAAAGAUUUAUCGCCGAAAGAUCGGCCCGCGUCUGAUUAGCUAGUUGGUGAGGUAACGGCUCACCAAGGCGACGAUCAGUAGCUGGUCUGAGAGGAUGAUCAGCCACAUUGGGAUUGAGACACGGCCCAAACUCCUACGGGAGGCAGCAGUGGGGAAUAUUGGACAAUGGGGGCAACCCUGAUCCAGCCAUGCCGCGUGAGUGAUGAAGGCCCUAGGGUUGUAAAGCUCUUUUGUGCGGGAAGAUAAUGACGGUACCGCAAGAAUAAGCCCCGGCUAACUUCGUGCCAGCAGCCGCGGUAAUACGAAGGGGGCUAGCGUUGCUCGGAAUCACUGGGCGUAAAGGGUGCGUAGGCGGAUCUUUAAGUCAGAGGUGAAAGCCUGGAGCUCAACUCCAGAACUGCCUUUGAUACUGGGGAUCUUGAGUUCGGGAGAGGUGAGUGGAACUGCGAGUGUAGAGGUGAAAUUCGUAGAUAUUCGCAAGAACACCAGUGGCGAAGGCGGCUCACUGGCCCGAUACUGACGCUGAGGCACGAAAGCGUGGGGAGCAAACAGGAUAAGAUACCCUGGUAGUCCACGCCGUAAAC
rnacentral:rRNA from 1 species